GAUGAAGAACGUAGCGAAAUGCGAUAAGUAAUGUGAAUUGCAGAAUUCAGUGAAUCAUCGAAUCUUUGAACGCACAUUGCGCCCGCCACUAUUCUGGCGGGCAUGCCUGUCUGAGCGUCAUUUCAACCCUCACGCCCCUAGGGCGUGGUGUUGGGGAUCGGCCAAAGCCCGCGAGGGACGGCCGGCCCCUAAAUCUAGUGGCGGACCCGUCGUGGCCUCCUCUGCGAAGUAGUGAUAUUCCGCAUCGGAGAGCGAUGAGCCCCUGCCGUUAAACCCCCAACUUUCCAAGGUUGACCUCGGAUCAGGUAGGAAUACCCGCUGAACUUAAGCAUAUCAAUAAGCGGAGGA
rnacentral:misc_RNA from 1 species